GUCUUUUUGUAUUUUAUUUAAAGUCUAGCCUGCCCACUGAAAUUAUUUUAAAUGGCCGCAGUAAUUUGACUGUGCAAAGGUAGCAUAAUAAUUAGUUUUUUAAUUAAGAGCUAGUAUGAAAGGUUGGACGAAGUAAAUUCUGUCUCUAUUUAAUUUAAAUUAGAAUUUAAUUUUUAAGUUAAAAAGCUUAAAUGUUUAUAAAAGACGAGAAGACCCUAUAGAGCUUUAUAUUUUUAAUAAUAUAAUUAUAUUAAGAUUUAAUUAUUUUUUAUUAUUAAAAUUAUUUUAUUGGGGUAAUAGAAAGAUUUAAAUAAUUCUUUUUUAUUAUUUAUAUUUAUUUAUAGAAUUAUUGAUCCAAUUUUAUUGAUUAUAAGAUUAAGUUACCUUAGGGAUAACAGCGUAAUUUUUUUGAAGAGUUCUUAUCGAUAAAAAAGUUUGCGACCUCGAUGUUGGAUUAAAGAUUAUUUUUGGUGUAGAAGUUAAAAAUUUUGGUCUGUUCGACCAUUGAAUCUUUACA
rnacentral:rRNA from 1 species